rnacentral:rRNA from 1 species
UACGGAGGGUGCGAGCGUUGUCCGGAAUCAUUGGGCGUAAAGGGCGCGUAGGUGGCUCGGUCAGCGUGCGGUGAAAGCUCGGGGCUCAACCCCGAGUCGGCCGUGCGAACUGCUGGGCUUGAGCACUGUAGAGGCAGGCGGAAUUCCGGGUGUAGCGGUGGAAUGCGUAGAGAUCCGGAAGAACACCGGUGGCGAAGGCGGCCUGCUGGGCAGUGGCUGACACUGAGGCGCGACAGCGUGGGGAGCAAACAGG